rnacentral:rRNA from 1 species
AGUGGCGGACGGGUGAGUAACGCGUAAGAAUCUAACUUCAGGACGGGGACAACAGUUGGAAACGACUGCUAAUACCCGAUGUGCCGCAAGGUGAAACCUAAUUGGCCUGGAGAAGAGCUUGCGUCUGAUUAGCUAGUUGGUGGGGUAAAGGCCUACCAAGGCGACGAUCAGUAGCCGGUCUGAGAGGAUGAGCAGCCACACUGGGACUGAGACACGGCCCAGACUCCUACGGGAGGCAGCAGUGGGGAAUUUUCCGCAAUGGGCGAAAGCCUGACGGAGCAACGCCGCGUGAGGGAGGAAGGUCUUUGGAUUGUAAACCUCUUUUCUCAAGGAAGAAGUUCUGACGGUACUUGAGGAAUCAGCCUCGGCUAACUCCGUGCCAGCAGCCGCGGUAAUACGGGGGAGGCAAGCGUUAUCCGGAAUUAUUGGGCGUAAAGCGUCCGCAGGUGGUCAGCCAAGUCUGCCGUCAAAUCAGGUUGCUUAACGACCUAAAGGCGGUGGAAACUGGCAGACUAGAGAGCAGUAGGGGUAGCAGGAAUUCCCAGUGUAGCGGUGAAAUGCGUAGAGAUUGGGAAGAACAUCGGUGGCGAAAGCGUGCUACUGGGCUGUAUCUGACACUCAGGGACGAAAGCUAGGGGAGCGAAAGGGAUUAGAUACCCCUGUAGUCCUAGCCGUAAACGAUGGAUACUAGGCGUGGCUU